AUUACUCCUACGGGAGGCAGCAGUAGGGAAUCUUCCGCAAUGGACGAAAGUCUGACGGAGCAACGCCGCGUGAGUGAUGAAGGCUUUCGGGUCGUAAAACUCUGUUGUUAGGGAAGAACAAGUGCUAGUUGAAUAAGCUGGCACCUUGACGGUACCUAACCAGAAAGCCACGGCUAACUACGUGCCAGCAGCCGCGGUAAUAAU
rnacentral:rRNA from 1 species